AUCCUGCGGGGGGCAGCAGUGGGGAAUGUUAGACAAUGGGGGGAACCCUGAUCUAGCCAUGCCGCGUGAGUGAUGAAGGCCUUAGGGUUGUAAAGCUCUUUCAGUGGGGAAGAUAAUGACGGUACCCACAGAAGAAGCCCCGGCUAACUCCGUGCCAGCAGCCGCGGUAAUACGGAGGGGGCUAGCGUUAUUCGGAAUUACUGGGCGUAAAGCGCACGUAGGCGGAUCAGAAAGUCAGAGGUGAAAUCCCAGGGCUCAACCCUGGAACUGCCUUUGAAACUUCUGGUCUUGAGGUCGAGAGAGGUGAGUGGAAUUCCGAGUGUAGAGGUGAAAUUCGUAGAUAUUCGGAGGAACACCAGUGGCGAAGGCGGCUCACUGGCUCGAUACUGACGCUGAGGUGCGAAAGCGUGGGUAGCAAACAGGAUUAGAUACCCUGGUAGUCCACGCUGUAAACGGUGAGUGCUCGUCGUCGUGGGUAUUGACCCCUGCGGUGACCAAGUUAACACAUGAAGCACUCCGC
rnacentral:rRNA from 1 species